AUGCGUUUUGUUAAACUGACCAGCUCGAAAACAAUGCCAGGAAACAAAGGGAGCGAGGAACGCAAGAAGACAAAUAAGGAAAAAAUGGUGAUGGACUCGCGCGCGCAUGAAAAGCAGGGCCCAGUGGAAAGACAAGGGAAUGUUUUUUUUAAAAAGGGGGGAGGGUCAGCAGGGUCUUUUAGAUGGCAAGCUGUGGGGAGAUGUUCCUCCAACAUUUUCCCACCUGCCCCCCCACCUUGUCUACCUGAAAAACGAGCCCGUCCUUUAAAGCCGGGAUGUGAACGGGUGAGCUGCGGAUGGGAGGCGGAGGGGAGGUUAAUUGCUCCUGCCAUGACGCACACGUUAAAUCAGUUGCUGCUGGAGAUCCUCCUUGUGUCCNGCCACGAGCAAAAGAGGGUUUACGCCAAGCUGCUUGGAGUAUAUAUUUUGAUACUGACAAAGACUGCAGAAAAGGAGGCGAGAAAGAGGUUAAAUUCCCUUGAUCGUCCAUUCCGGCCUCCAACUCUUCUUACCGAGGGGAAUGACAAUAUAGAACUGUCAUAGAAUCUUACAUUCUCUUCUUAACCAAGGGGCACUCUGUGUCCUCAGACGUCCUGGAGAUGCCAGGGAUUGAACCAGUGGCAUCCAGGCAGGUGAGUGCAGCUGGAAAUGUCUCCUGCCAGUGGCUAACACCCCUGGGGCCCUUCCACACCAUGGAAUGUUUGCCGGCAGUGGAACAGAUCUCGCAGUGCGGCAGCCACUCGAGGGCUGGAACAUUCCAGAAACGAACUUCCAGCACUCUCAGUGCAAAUGCUGGCCGCCCGUGCCAUGACAGUGGCGGGGGAAACUUCCAGCCGCUGCCAUGACGACCAAGAAUGCAGUGCGACUGCACAGCCACGCCAUACCGCACAGCAUUUGCACCUGGAUUUUGUACACUACGGCUAGUAGCAAUCACAAGCAACUAUAGCCUGCUCCUGAUUCCAGGGGUCUCUGCACGGUGCCGACAAAGUUCACUAGUGAGCCUGCAAACGCUAGUGAAAAGUGUGCGAAGAUCUUUAUUUAGAUUGAACUUCUGACCCACUGAUUUCCAGACAGUUAGUCUACCGCUGAACCGUCGCUAGCUCAGUCAACAAAACACUAGCACAUUAAUUGACCUGGAAAUGUACUUUAUUUGUUCUUCUGUAAUAUGCUUUUGGAACACACUCUGAUAUGCUAGGAGAGGUGCAAGUCCUCUGGAAGUACGGGNGUGGUGUUAAUUGCUGUAAAAGAACCUCGCUAAAUGCAAGGUGUGUCUGCAAUUCAAAAACAUGCCGUCCGGUUUCUCUUUCUCAGGCAUGGUGAAGCAACAGAUGGUNAACUUCUUCUACAAAUUCUUCUUCUAGUAGGUUUUUGACUUUUUUCCCUCUCACUUCUAGCCCAAGGAAUAGUUCUAUAUUGUUCCAAAGUAAAGACAAGCUAUUCAAAAAGAUGGCAUCCUGCAUUUCAGUACCAGCGGGUUCAGAUGAAGAUUAUUCAUUGACCUUUUCUUGUUCUCCAGAACUCAGAAGUUCUGUGCUGCGGCUCCUUUUGUGCCACCUUAUGGCAGGAGCUGUAGCCUGGAAAGCAGAGAGUUGCCGGUUCGAUCCCNAGCUUGGUUNGAUCCCCAGCUUCUCGCAUGAAGUGGGGGAUGGCAAACCNCUUCUNUAUCUCUGCCAAGAAAACUGCAUGAAGGUGCCCAUGAAGGUGCCCAUGUAAUCAAUCAGGAGUCAGCUGCAACUCAGUGGUAUCCAACAAUAACAUGUUUUUUGUANCCAAGAUCGCCUUAACCCCUUCCCUCUUUCACUCCUUUGUUAAUCCACCCACCCCUGCAAACAAUAGCAUUUUCUCCCAUUCUCUGCAUCAGAAAAAGACCAACAAUUUGUUCAUUCAUGUCAGGUUUUAACCAGUCUUAUUUCCAAUGUCAGUUGGGUUUUUUGGNAAGGGGGAGAAAGAAUUCUGGAGACAACCAAGCACCCCUACCAUCUCUUCUUGAAAGGUUAUACCGACAGUUUUUCUUGGGAGAUAUGGAGNCUUCUCNGUGGUGGCCCCCCAAGUUAUGGAAUGACCUUCCCUCUGAGGUGCAUCAAGCUCCAUCACUGAAUAGCUUCAGAUGCAGAAUAAAGGCUUUACUCCAGGCUUUGUGUGAAGAACU
rnacentral:lncRNA from 1 species